GACGAACGCUGGCGGCGUGCCUAAUACAUGCAAGUAGAACGAACAGACGAGGAGCUUGCUCUUCUGGGGUGAGUUGCGGACGGGUGAGUAACGCGUGGAUAACCUACCUAGAAGAGUGGGAUAACUACGGGAAACGGUAGCUAAUACCGCAUAACAUAUUGUAACACAUGGUUCAUAAGUGAAAGACGGAAUUGCUGUACUACAAAGUGGGCCUCGGUCGGCUUAGGUAGUUGGUAAGGGAAAGGCUUACCAAGGCAACGAUACGUAGCCAACCUGAGAGGGGGAUCGGCCACACUGGAACUGAGACACGGCCCAGACUCCUCGGGGGGGCAGCAGAAGGGAAUCUUCCGCAUGGGGCGAAAGCCUGACGGGGCAACGCCGCGUGGGUGAUGAAGGUCUUCGGUUCGUAAGCCCCUGUUAUUGGGGAAGAACGAAUGUGUAAGUAACAAUGCACGUCUUGACGGUACCUAAUCAGAAAGCCACGGCUAACUACGUG
rnacentral:rRNA from 1 species